CGGAAGUUGUUGCUCAGUCGCUUCCGGGGCAGGGUGAGGCGAAGGAAGAUUACGAAUGGGUCGCAGUCGCAGCCGCUCCCCUCGGAGGGAAAUGGCUGGCAUUAUGUUUCCAUCGGACGGCGCAGCUCUAGAAAUUUGAAGUAAUGUUUUGCCUCUGCAAAAAGAUUUUGUGUGUUUGUAUUAGAGCGCAGGCGGUCCCGGUCCACGUCCCGUGAGCGAGAACGCAGGCGCCGAGAAAGGUCCCGGUCCCGGGAGAGAGAUCGGCGAAGGAGCCGCUCUCGAUCCCCACACAGAAGACGCUCCAGGUCCCCAAGACGACAUAGAUCCACAUCUCCUUCCCCUUCUCGACUGAAAGAAAGAAGAGAUGAGGAAAAGAAAGAAACAAAAGAAACAAAGAGCAAAGAACGCCAGAUUACUGAGGAGGACUUAGAGGGCAAAACAGAGGAAGAAAUAGAAAUGAUGAAAUUAAUGGGAUUUGCCUCUUUUGACUCCACAAAAGGGAAAAAGGUGGAUGGUUCUGUAAAUGCCUAUGCCAUAAAUGUGUCUCAGAAGAGGAAGUACAGGCAGUACAUGAAUCGAAAAGGCGGAUUCAACAGACCUUUGGAUUUCAUUGCAUGAAAACUGAAAUGAUAAAGAAUGAUUUUUUUUCCUUUACCUUGUUCAGAAGAGUGGAUUUUGUAUUUCAUAUUUAAUAUGCAUAAAAAACAGGAUCACAGUCCUUCCUCCUUGUAAAGUAAGAAAAUUUUUAUUUAUGAUGUAUGCAGUUCACAUACCCUGACUCACAAAAAGGAAAAUUAAAUACUACAUUUUUUUCUUUUAGGAAAUAUCAUUUGGGGCAAUCAGCCCCAUUUUUUUGUUCUUAUUAUUGUGGAAUCUGUAUAUGUUUUCUUCUUGGGUGCACGUUAGGACUUUUUUUAAACACAUAAAAGUAAUUUGGAUAUAAGUUUGUCAAAUAAAGCAAUAUUUCUACCCUUUUGUAUUUGAUAAAUAUUUGUAUUGCUGUAUAAAAUUUUCCCCCUACACAGUUUUUCUCCCCUACGUAGAUUUAGAUUUCAUUAGUAACUUACAAAUAACUGGGGGGUUUUUUGCCCCAAUUAUUUCCUCCAUUUAUUGUUUUUCCCAUUUUAAAAACCAAAUAUGCUUAUUAUAUAAAAACUUGGGAGAAACCAAAAAGCAAAAAGAAGAGCCAAAAAUCACCUAUAUCUAUCCCCAGAAACAAUAUUUUGAUAUAUGUCUUUCCAGCCUCCUAUGGUAUAUAUUUAUUGUCCCUACCCGUUAUAUCAGAAUUUAUAUGCUGUUCUCUUUUGCUAAUCUUUUUUCUCCCAUGUACUGUGAACAGUUUUUAAUACUUACGUGUUAUUUAGAAACUUAACUUUUAGUUAAAUUUAGCUACUUGGUUGUACCAUAAUUUAUUAACUGAUCUUUUAUGAGCAAACAUUGGCUUACCUCCCAUGACUUGCUGUUUUAAUUAAAACUGUGAGUAGUAUUCCUGUUACAUA